GCAUCAUUAACUUUUAAACUUUAAUUAGCUCAUUUAUGAUAUUACUAAUUCAUUAUUAUAUUGUUUUUCUUUCAUAAGGUACCUGUAUCACACAAUUGUUAAGCCAAAUCAUAUGGUGUUCUUCUUCUUAUCCCCUCAGUUAACAACACAUGAAUUACCUGUGAAAGAACGAAUGCAAAAAAUAGUUAGUAUUUUUUGUUGAUAAUAAGGUGCUUGAUAAGUUUGUUCUUGCACCAAUCAAUACAGGCCAUCAUUGGGUGUUGCUUGGAAUCAAUCUUAAAAUGGAGAUAAUUCAUUAUCUUGAUCCAUUGGAGAAUGACAUAAGUAUGUGAAAAGAUUUGAAGAAUUUGUUUGAUAUGGUUAUACAAGCCUACCGAGCUCAAAGAGGAGCUAUGGUUUCAAAGUCUAAGUCAAGUAACAUCAAUUGGAUAACAAUUAAGGUAAAUUAUAAUUGUUAUUUGAAAAUCAAUCACUGAUGAUAAUUUUAAUUAUAUUGAUAUUUUUGCCUUUUGGUUAUAGUGUCCGAAGUAAUCAAAUGGCAACGAUUGUGGAUAUUACAUUUAUCGGUAUAUGAAGGAAAUUAUCACCUAUUGUGAAGGGGGGACAAUUCCAAAAGAUGUAUAAAAUAUAUUGGUUCCUUAUAAUUCCUUUUAUGUACAAUCUCAGUUGGUUUAUUUAUUUAUUUAUUUUUUUAGUACUUCCCUAGAUGCAGCGUGCAACGAUAUUCUAUUGAUCAAAUCACAGAAGUUAGAGAAGAUUGGUGUUUAUAUGUCAUUAAAAAAUGCUUGUAGAACCAAUGAGCUGUGGAAUAUUCUAAGAGAGAGAACUACAUGAUAUUGGACAAGCAUUGAUUAUAUGUUACUGUCGAGUUAAUGUCAAAUAACUAAAUGUAAUAUGUUAGGUCUAUAUACAUUUCCUUUUUUUUAUUUAUUUGAGUCUAAGACUAGGAGUUGCAUGGUAAUGGACAAGCAUUGAUUGUGUUUAGAUAUAUGUAACUAUUAUUGCAACAAACUAAAUGUAAUACAUGUUAGGUUUAUAUAAACUAAUCUUUUAAUUUUAAUGUAUA